rnacentral:rRNA from 1 species
AUGGCCCUGCCUCCUCCACCACGCUCGGCGCCUGGCAUCCUCGGCGCACGGCCGCCACAGGCCCAUGCCGCCUUCAGCGGACCCCUGCAGCAGCAGCAGUACUCCUUCUACCCGACCUUUCCGAUGCCAUUGCACCAGCCGCCGGCCUUCCACCACCAGCCGUACUUGCCGGCGCCUCCCCAGCAGCAACAGUACAACCCUCCACCGGCCAGCUCUGAUGCUCAUGGAGUUGAUCACGCGGCGCUGAUGGGCGCCCUGCACAACCUCUCGCUGCAGUCGCCUAGCGGUGGCUGGGUUGCGGACUCCGGCGCCUCCACUCACCUCGUGACCGAUCCCGGACUUUGCAACCAAGGCGGCAAUUCUUCGGUGCAACAGUGA